rnacentral:misc_RNA from 1 species
AACGCACGAGACCUGCGGACCUGCGGAAGGAUCAUUAUCGAGUUUACAACUCCCAAACCAUUGUGAAUCUUACCUUUUCGUUGCUUCGGCGGGAUCGCCCCGGGCGCUUCGGUGCCCCGGAUUCAGGCGCCCGCCGGGGGACCUAAACUCUUGUAUUAUAGUGGAUUUCUGAGUGGAUUACACAAAUAAUCAAAACUUUCAGCAACGGAUCUCU